rnacentral:tRNA from 1 species
GGCUGGAUAGCUCAGUUGGUAGAGCAACGGACUGAAAAUCCGUGUGUCCUCGGUUCGAUCCCGAGUCCAGCCACCA